UUUAUAGCCACUUUCAAGUCACACUGUAAUGGGAUCUUUGCAUGUAAAUGUUACAUGCACAUUAAAAAGGAUUCUAGGAUUUAAUACUUGUGUUUGACCUGUAAUAUAUGUGCUGACUGGCAGGAUGAGCAGGAAGUGUGUGAUGGCAGGUAGAGGGAGGAGAAUUCAGGUGAGGAUUUGCAUAGCUCUGCUUUCUGUAGAGGACACCUUCCCCAUCAGCUCUGAACUCCAGUGGAGGUUUAUACUCAGCAGUGAAGGAACUUAGUGAGCAGGAUCACACGUCAAGUACUAGUGGCACCAGGUAAGGACAGAAGAUGCUUUAACAGUCUUUAAUAUACCAUUUUAUGGUUGUAGUUUGAUAUUUAGCCUUGCAAAUAGUUUAUUGCUUUAGGCUUAAUCAUGUUUAACAUUUAUGCAUUUGGCAAAUGCCUUUAUCCUUGCAAGUGGAAGCAAAGUAUGCAUUAUUCCGGUCUGUGCACUUAAACCCAAUGAUUUUGAUGUCACUAUAGCACCAAGUUCUGUUUAAGAAAUCUACUUUUCCAGUGAAAUUGUGUGCAACUUCCAUCAUUUGUUUAUACCUGUCCGCUUGUGGGUCAAAAUCUGCCUCGUUUAAGAUUUGAAACUCCUCUAAACUGGCAGUGCUGCUACCACUGGGAAUGGGUCGUCAUGUCAAACCAUGGGCCAAUCAGAUGUAUCCCUGGGCUCUGCAUGCUGGAGCCUAAAUUAGGUCAUGAUCUUAAUAAGUAUUGUCGCUCUGUGAUUCUCUGACUGCGUGGAAGAGAGCAGAAGAGGACCUUACAGAGAACAGACAGGGUUUUUGACUAGCCAUCAUAGUAGAACACAAAGCAGUGAGGAGGUGCGGACCUCACGCUGGCAGCUGAACAGUGGGGAACAGCGGUUUACUGUUACGCCAGCAGGUAUGCAACUUUUGAGGACAGAGGGAGGAUGUGUAUGGAUGUGUGUGUGUGUUCAUCUGCAUGUGUGUGAAAAUAUCAGUGUUAAGGUCACAAUAGAUACAUUAGAUGGCUUUUCUUUCAUGUAAAUUAUGCUAAAUAGUAUUAUGAUGAUAUAAUGAGACAAAUAAAAUUUGUUUAAAUCAGAACA
ensembl:lncRNA